GGCGGACGGGUGAGUAACGCGUAAGGAACUUGCCUCUUGGACUGGGACAACUGUUGGAAACGACAGCUAAUACCGGAUAUUAUGAGAUUCUCGCAUGAGAAACUUAUGAAAGCUAUAUGCGCCAAGAGAGAGCCUUGCGUUCCAUUAGCUAGUUGGUGGGGUAACGGCCCACCAAGGCGACGAUGGAUAGCCGGCCUGAGAGGGUGAACGGCCACAAGGGGACUGAGACACGGCCCUUACUCCUACGGGAGGCAGCAGUGGGGAAUAUUGGACAAUGGGCCACAAGCCUGAUCCAGCAAUUCUGUGUGCACGAUGGAGGUCUUCGGAUUGUAAAGUGCUUUCAGUUGGGAAGAAGAAAGUGACGGUACCAACAGAAGAAGCGACGGCUAAAUACGUGCCAGCAGCCGCGGUAAUACGUAUGUCGCAAGCGUUAUCCGGAUUUAUUGGGCGUAAAGCGCGUCUAGGCGGAAAAAUAAGUCUGAUGUUAAAAUGCGGGGCUCAACUCCGUAUUGCGUUGGAAACUGUUUUUCUAGAGUACUGGAGAGGUGGGCGGAACUACAAGUGUAGAGGUGAAAUUCGUAGAUAUUUGUAGGAAUGCCGAUGGGAGAAGUCAGCUCACUGGGACAGAUACUGACGCUGAAGCGCGAAAGCGUGGGGAGCAAACAGGAUUAGAUACCCUG
rnacentral:rRNA from 1 species